AUGAACGCUAGCGACAGGCCUAACACAUGCAAGUCGAGGGGCAUCAGGUAUCAGCUUGCUGAUACGCUGGCGACCGGCGCACGGGUGAGUAACGCGUAUGCAAUCUGCCUGUAACAGGGGGAUAACCCGGAGAAAUCCGGCCUAAUACCCCAUAAGGAUGUCUGUCCGCAUGGGCGGUCAUCUAAAGGUUUUCCGGUUACAGAUGGGCAUGCGUUCCAUUAGCUGGUUGGCGGGGUAACGGCCCACCAAGGCGACGAUGGAUAGGGGUUCUGAGAGGAAGGUCCCCCACACUGGUACUGAGACACGGACCAGACUCCUACGGGAGGCAGCAGUGAGGAAUAUUGGUCAAUGGGCGUAAGCCUGAACCAGCCAAGUCGCGUGAAGGAAGACAGCCCUACGGGUCGUAAACUUCUUUUGUAUGGGAGUAAAAGAGUCCACGCGUGGGCUAUUGCAAGUACCAUACGAAUAAGCAUCGGCUAACUCCGUGCCAGCAGCCGCGGUAAUACGGAGGAUGCGAGCGUUAUCCGGAUUUAUUGGGUUUAAAGGGUGCGUAGGCGGCCCUAUAAGUCAGCGGUGAAAUGUUCCGGCUCAACCGGGAAACUGCCGUUGAAACUGUAGAGCUAGAGUCCACAAGAGGUAUGCGGAAUGCGUGGUGUAGCGGUGAAAUGCAUAGAUAUCACGCAGAACCCCGAUUGCGAAGGCAGCAUACUGGGGUGAAACAGACGCUGAAGCACGAAAGCGUGGGUAUCGAACAGGAUUAGAUACCCUGGUAGUCCACGCCGUAAACGAUGAAUACUAACUGUUUGCGAUAUACAGUAAGCGGUACAGCGAAAGCGUUAAGUAUUCCACCUGGGGAGUACGCCGGCAACGGUGAAACUCAAAGGAAUUGACGGGGGCCCGCACAAGCGGAGGAACAUGUGGUUUAAUUCGAUGAUACGCGAGGAACCUUACCCGGGCUUAAAUUGCAGAUGAAUUACGGUGAAAGCCGUAAGCCGCAAGGCAUCUGUGAAGGUGCUGCAUGGUUGUCGUCAGCUCGUGCCGUGAGGUGUCGGCUUAAGUGCCAUAACGAGCGCAACCCUUAUCGAUAGUUACUACCAGGUCAAGCUGAGGACUCAAUCGAGACUGCCAGCGUAAGCUGCGAGGAAGGUGGGGAUGACGUCAAAUCAGCACGGCCCUUACGUCCGGGGCGACACACGUGUUACAAUGGCAGGGACAGCGAGUAGCCAGGCAGCAAUGCCGCGCCAAUCUCGAAACCCUGUCCCAGUUCGGAUCGGAGUCUGCAACCCGACUCCGUGAAGCUGGAUUCGCUAGUAAUCGCGCAUCAGCCAUGGCGCGGUGAAUACGUUCCCGGGCCUUGUACACACCGCCCGUCAAGCCAUGGGAGCCGGGAGUACCUGAAGUAUGCAACCGCGAGGAGCGUCCUAGGGUAAUACUGGUGACUGGGGCU
rnacentral:rRNA from 1 species